rnacentral:rRNA from 1 species
UACGGAGGGUGCAAGCGUUAUCCGGAUUCACUGGGUUUAAAGGGUGCGUAGGUGGAUUGGUAAGUCAGUGGUGAAAUCUCCGGGCUUAACUCGGAAACUGCCAUUGAUACUAUCAGUCUUGAAUACCGUGGAGGCCAGUAGAAUAUGUCAUGUAGCGGUGAAAUGCUUAGAUAUGACAUAGAAUACCAAUUGCGAAGGCAGCUGGCUAAGCGAAUAUUGACACUCAGGCACGAAAGCGUGGGGAUCAAACAGG